rnacentral:rRNA from 1 species
GAUGAACGCUGGCGGCGUGCCUAAUACAUGCAAGUCGAGCGAACAGACGAGGAGCUUGCUCCUCUGACGUUAGCGGCGGACGGGUGAGUAACACGUGGAUAACCUACCUAUAAGACUGGGAUAACUUCGGGAAACCGGAGCUAAUACCGGAUAAUAUAUUGAACCGCAUGGUUCAAUGGUGAAAGACGGUUUUGCUGUCACUUAUAGAUGGAUCCGCGCCGCAUUAGCUAGUUGGUAAGGUAACGGCUUACCAAGGCAACGAUGCGUAGCCGACCUGAGAGAGAGAACGGCCACAGUGGGACGGAGACACGUUCCACACUCCUAGGGGAGGCACCAGUAGGGAAGCGUACGAAAUGGGCGAAAGCUUGACGGAGCAACGCCGCGUGAGUAAUGAAGGUCUACUGAUCGUAAAACUCUGUUAUUAGGGAAGACCAAAUGUGUAAGUAACGAUGCACGUCUUGACGGUACCUAAUCAGAAGGCCACGGCUAACUACGUG